rnacentral:lncRNA from 1 species
GCCUGCUGAUCUGCAUACAUCUGCAGCAUCCCCGGAAGGAUCCCCGGGAGGGAACAACAGAGGGAAAGCUGCUCAGCGACAGUUUUUCCUACUCCCAAGCUUUCUAUAACUGCAGAAGCAAUGCGACCGGCUGCCUUCCCCGCUGCUGCUCUGCCUUGACCGCUACAAUGGACGGCACCAUGAGCUGAGAGACCCUUCCUUCCAAUUGCUCUUGUCGGGCAUAUUGUCAUAACAGCGAGAGAA